CGCCCUCACGGCAGCCGCCUCCGCCGCCCGCUGCUCCCGCAGCGCGGCCGGCUCCUCUUCGACGGCCGCCGCCUUGUCCUGCUGCUGCGGCCGCCGCUCCGGUUCCGUGCUCGGCUCCUCCAGGAAAGUGGCUUGGACUAGGCCAUUGACCUAGUAAGUGUUCCAGACAGCCAGAGGAGGGCAUGGCCAACUGGAAAGAAAGCAAAGAGAGCUCUGCAGAGGAACAGUGAUGGUGGUCUUAUGCAAAGCAGAACAUCGGGAGAACUUUAUCUGGUACGAAGUAUGAAAACUUUUAAGAGACUUCCUCUUAAGACAUGUGAAUCUGUUUCACAGGCAUUAUACUCUGCUAAAACUUUCUGCAUGCCAUGAAGAUGACUCUAAGGAGUUGGCAUUGUUAAAGCCCCAGGAGAAACAUGUACAUUCUGUCAGCCCCUCGUGUCUGCACCAGUGACUCUCACAACACUCAAAGGCUUCUAGCAUCUACAAGCUUAUAAAUUGGUCUCAAGUGUAAUAUGAUCUUUAAAAUGAGAUCUUCUUGAUUGUAAUAGACAACAGACUAACUAUGCUUAAAACCAGAAUCAUUGUUUACCUUAACUGUGAAACUGAGGCAGUGUCACAUACAAGGCUGCCAGAGCUGAUUAAAAAUCAGAUAAAACUGUCUAAUUGUAUUAGAGACUUGAUUUUUCAUUGUAUUAAAAAAAAAGUCACGUUCAGCCAUUAGCAAACUGGACUAUUAUAUACAAGAGUCUCUAAUUCCUUGAGUCAAAAAACCUUAAUUAAUCUGUGUUGGGAUUAACCUUCUGGUUUUGUGAGGAAAAGAGAAAGCACAAGUACAUCCAAAAUAAAUUAACAGUCUACACUCAUCUUUUCAAGGAUAAAUUUGUUAGCUUUUGUUCCCAGCACAAAGGAUUUUACAACUUCUCUUUUAAAAACUGUAUUUUGCCAUUAAAAAAAUUGCUAUACAAAUAUAGCCUUAGCGAAUACGUAUUUAGGAGUCUACUUUUCUAAUCCCUAUUUCCUGAUUAAUGUUAGAAAGUCACUGUUCCUUGGAUUUUUAUCCCAAAAUUCAAUCUCCUAUAUAAAACAGAGUUUAUUUUCAACAUUUAGACCAAGAAGUUAACUUUCAUACAGCAAGGACCACUUGAUUAAUCUCUACAGUAAUUGCAAGAGCGACUUUAUUAAUCUAGAACAUGUGAGAUUUAAUGCAGGUGAACCAUCAUCCGAGAUUUGCUGGAGCUUGAUAAGAGGUUGUAAGUUAAUUACCUCCUUUUGUAGAUGGAGUUUGAAGAAACUGUUUGGUUUUGAAGGCAGCACGAGGCAAAAUUUUCUGCCUUUGCAGAGCUGUUGAAAGACAAGAAGUGUUAUAUUUGUCUAAGAAGAUAAGAAAACUAAAUUUACUGGGAAUUUCAGAAUUGUAUCCACUUGUGAAGCGUCAAGAAACAGUGUGAGUAAAACACUCAAAAAGCUGUUAUGACUCUGGAAGUGAUGGAGUUUUGUGGAUGGUGCUCGCUCUUAAUGGCAAAGAGUUGCAGAGGAGUGUGUCAGAAAUUUUGCAGUGCAAAAUGCGCAGAUUUGGUAAGAAUAAAGCUUCUUGCAGGGCAAAAAGCCCAGAAAUGCAAAACAAAAAUUAAAACACCAAAGGGAGAACAAGCCACCUAGCAAACAUGCUACAGCAAUAUGAGAGCAAGAUUAGAUACAGAUGAAAAUUAAACUGUUGUAUUUGACCUAGCAAGACUAAAUUUUUAAUUUUAGAAGUGUUUUCAAAAAAAUAUUCUAAUACAAUACAAAAGCAUAAAUCUUUGUCUAAUAUGAUCAUCAUAUAAACAAAUUGUAUGCUUCAGUUAUGGAGACUUAAGCCUUCUUGAGAGAUGUCUUUUUUUCUCUCCUCUCUGAAAGGUAUGCAAGAGGACUUAAAAUGAACACUAAGAUUUAUCAAAUGCCAGCAUGUACCCAGCAUGAUGGAAAUUGGUUUUUAUUGCUCCUUUUCUCCCUUGUCCUGCCUUUUGUCUGGUAACAUUCAAGGGCUGGUGCUGCCUUGAAAUGACCUCACUACCUACCAGUUACCAAGAGAGAAGCCAAUGUUCCGAGAGCUGCAGAAUCUUGGCAUGGAGGGAAUUACUUAUUGCCAGAAGGAAUGCAUUGCCUCAGCCUAUUUCCAUCGCAGCACAUUUAAGGGGGAGAAGGAGGAAAGCAGUCAAUGAAAUAAAGCUCUGACUACACAGAGACUUCAUAAAAUGAUAAUGUAUGAAUAAACAUCUCUGCUUAUCUCAGUGUAUGAAGUUUUAUAGCAGUAUAAAACUGAUUGCACUAGCAAGGCUUAUUUCCAUAGUGAGAAGGAAGAAAGAUGGGGGAACAGCUGUGCAAAAAGAUCCUGACCCUGAGUAAGGAAUAAUCCCAUCACAAAUUACUGAAUAUCUCUAUAAAGAAAGUGGGGGGAACAAUUUGAAUCCUAAUAUUAGUUAAUCCUUUUGUUUGAUAGCAUGUAAUGAUUACUAUCACCUUUCCUAUGCUUCAGUCAGUGUAAAAUACACAGUAUUUUACGAACUAUAAAAAAUUCAUCAUGUGUUUUAACAUCAUAUUGAAAUUAUGACUAGGCAGGCUAUUCAAUUUAGUCCUAAUAGCUAACUAAAACUGUCAUGUUCAACAAACAGCAAAAAGGAAUUCGAUUGUUCAUAAAAACAGUAAAAGUCUGCCUGUGCCUACUACGAAUAAAAACCUUAUUCCUUCUACCAACUAGAAUCUAAUGCAAAAUAGCCUGUUGGCAAUAUGUAGUUCUCACUCAACUGGCACAUGGUCUUCCUAGAAACUUUUUUUAAAGCAUACAUGUGAACAGCCAAUUAAGCACAGUACGAUCUCUAAAUAUGAGCACAAUUCCUAGAAAUUUACUGAGGCAGACCACUAGCCAGACUGCUUCAGUCCUCAAGUAUUCCAAUUUGUUAUUUUCUACAGAAUCACUGUUUUUGUUAUACCACACAAAAUGAAGAAAAGCUUCUUUCUUCAUCUUUUGUUUUGUCUUAAUCCACUCAGAUUUCAAUAUGCUACUGCACAUGGCACUUUCUUCCCCCAUCAUUAUUCACACUUCUUGCAAGUCAGAGAGAUGGGAUGAUAUGGAAAGGAUUUUAAAUAUGCAUAUAUCAAAUUCCUUCCUUCUCAAUGGAGACUCUAGGAAAUAGACACUCAAUAGCAAAACAUUUCUGUGCACUGAAACACUGAACAGAGCUUAGGCAGUACAAUUUGAGCAAUGCUGAGCAAACAUGCAGUUUGAGAUAAGCGCCCAGUGCAUGUUUAUCCACACCACUUGCUGCUCUUGAAGUGCUCUGUGUGCUGUGACAUACCCUGUCACAACUGCUGUGUGCUGAACACAUGUAGUUACAUUUACUUCUCUGAUCAACAGAACUGGACUACUUGGUUUCUUCAAAACUUACUCUUCCUCCUUUUACUCUGGACAUGCCAAGCAGUUGGAUCUUGCCAAGCAGACCAGUCACUUUAUUGAUAGUUUGAAUCUACAGCUCAAGAAAGUUUUGUAUUUAGCUCUUCUUAAAAGCAUCCAUGUGCUCAUAGUGCCACUAAGUACAAAAACAUCACACAGAAUUCAAAAGCAGGUAGCUCCUACAUGGAAGUCACCCUACAGUUUCUAGAGCUUUGUACAAUCUAUGUGGUAUAGGACCCAAACACAGAGAUUUCCCAUCACUAACACUUUAGACAAUACCUAUUCCUUGGGGAACACACAUAUUAUUGUAUCUUCUAGUAUUUUAAGGUGAAUUAUUUACUAGCUUUCAUAUGUUAAAAAAAGUACUUUCUGCAGAAUGGCACGGAGAAUCAGAUGUAAAUGAAGAAUCAAAUUGUUACAAUUGCUAUUUAAGUCAGUCUCUCUUCAAAACCAAUUUGGAUUGUUCACCACACUGUAGCUAAAAGUUAAAAUGCCAAUGUUUUCAUGUUUACAGUUGUACCUCUAAACACAUCACAUGUGUCUUCCCUCUCUUCUGUAAGCAAGCAAAUACAAUUUGGCUAUAAAACUCUAAGAGGAAUUGUCACUUCAGAAACUUACUGGAUUCCUAGCUCAUUUUUGAAUGCCAGCAACCAUAGCAAGUUCAGUAUUGCAGCCACAGCAAAUGUGCAAGUAAAUUAUGAACCGCAAAUCUUCAACAAGGAGCAAAGUAGUGACCUUGCGUGGCAAGCCAGCAUCCUCGCAAAGGUAAGCUCAUGCAAAACUAGCAGGUGUAUGAGGAAGCUUCAAAUCCCAAGACCCAGAAAUCAUUGCCAAGGGAAAACAAAAAUUUGCUGCAAUUUAACAGUGCUUUGUGCAAAGUGACAAAAUAUAAAACCAAUAAAACAAAAAGUAUACAAUAAAAAGGACACAAUUCUGGAAAUCUUUAUACAAUGUACAGUUUUGCAGAAAAUUUUUUAAUCCGGACUAAGCAAAGAUACUUACUCAUUGACUUCACACACAAACCGUUUUACGAUUGUCAAUAGCAAGACUCUGACAAACAUCUGUAAGAGCAGGGAAACUGUAAAAGCUAGAAAUCUGGCCUUUAUUAAUGAUAUUUAACUUACAUUUAAAUGUAAGUUGGUCUAGAGUGGUUCACAUUUGGGGAAAUUGUCUAUGAAAAAAAAGCAAUUUACCUAGUAAUUCUUAAUGCAUCCACAAGUUGAAAAAAAAGAAAUAUAAACAAAAUCAGACCACUUUGGUUCCCGCAAUGAAGUAAUUGACUGAAUACUGAGUCUUCUGUUGUCUGAUCUUUCCAGAAAGUUUAACCAUGAAUAUACUUUUAAUUCUGGAAGUAGCCUUCUAGCUAAGACGCUCUCUAUGCUCUUCCCUUCCCAGUUCACUCAAUUCUAAAGCACCAAAUAAAAUCUGUAGAGAUUUUUACUAAAAAUAUUUUUUUGUUCAUUUUCUUUCAGCUCAUUUUGAUAGUUCUUCCUGUCAUUGAAAUAGCACAGCUGUAGACCAGCUGCCCAACUGCUCUGAGUGCUUUAUACUUUGAUACGGCUGCCUAACAGGUAACAGUUGUGCAUUUGAACUACACAAACGUCCUUUCAGCUUGAAAUCCCACCUUCUGAGUGUCUGCCAGAGGUGGAAGAAGAGGGCCAAGGUGAACGGAUGCUGGAGUAACUUAUAUGAACAAUGAGCUGGGUUGAUGACAUACUUUGGAUAGAAGACUGAAGAUGCCUUGACAGGAUGAGUGGCCAACCUGAUUCUGCAGAGGGAUGCAGGGAAGAAGUAGGUUACAAUGCACGAGCACUAAAUGCGAAAACAAAACUAAGUCUUCAUUGGCUGAAUAUUCCAAUAAGUGUACUUUCUUCACUUAGCAGUUUGCAUUCCUUUCUACUGCACUUGGUACAUUGUUGAACUCUGUCAACCAAAUUUCCCUCCAACCAUUCUAGACAAAUAAUACUAAAAGAAAAGAGAAAACCUGAACAACUUUUUUUGGCUGCUGUCAUAUCAACUCUGAAUAUCCAAGCAACACUCAACUGCACAAAAACCACUGCAAGAUAACUCCUUGGAAGUGUUUCAGAAAUGCAUGAUCACACACUCUAUUUUGAUCCCUCUGGUAUGUGGGAUACCAGCUUUUGGUACCACUCCUCUCAUAGGAUAUUUUUACUGCAGCUCAUCUCGCAUGCAUUAAGACUUUCAUUUUAAGAAAUGAAUGGGAAAGGAAUUCUCGAUUAAGUUACAAUAUAAUUGGUUCACUUCUGUGUUGCACAUUUUCCUAGAGACCUAAAAUUUCCUCAAACCACUAUUAAUAGUAAGGGGAAUUCUUAAUAUCUAAAUGUAUAUUCUUUCUAAAUUAAAAAUUUUACUUGCUGGAUAAAAAAUAGGUUUGUUGAAACGGGAAUAUGCUUGCAAAAUUUCAUUCCACUAAAAGGAGUUUCUCCUAGACUGCUACUAGGAAAAACUAUGUUCAAGAAGAAAAGUUGUAUCAGUAUUAUAUAAUUUUGUUCUACGCCAAUAUAGUAUAACUGCACUGAAUUUACUCCAAACUUUAUUUACUACGCAGCAGUUUUCACAGCUUUGAGAUAUCUAAAAUAUCCAACAAAUGCAUUAAUUAAGUACUAAUAUUUUUAAGACUAAGUUCAAGAUUGAAAAGUUUCAGAGUCCUGUGCAACCAGAAGAAAGCAUUCAGCUGCCUCACAGGCUAUAGGCAUGCAUAAAUCGCCAUGUAACUCUUAUCUGACCACCAGUUACUUUCCUCUGCAUUUUGUUCUGUCAUCUGCGAGGCCUAGCUCUACUAGUAAAUGAGCUUCCCUGCUUUACUUUAGUGCAUUUGCCUGCCAAAUAUAGACCUUGGUCACUAUGAAACUCAAUUAUACUCAUUGACUGGAUAACAUCUAAAAUAAAUAUAAGCCUAUCAACUCAUCUGACUGUAAGGGUGCCCCAGCAGAACUUAAGCUUUUCUUGCUCUGUGUUUUCUUCAGCAAUUCAGAGAUUAAACCACAAUGUUACCCAGGCACAUAGUUUUAGGACUGCACACUGACAAAACUCCUUUAGAGAAACUACACAACUACUUGUGAAAUGAACUUCAAACAGUUUUUUACCUUCACUUUUGACAUUACUAGUUUGCAAGUCUGUAGGAUGGCCUUGAAGCGAAAGACGAGGCUGCUGUAAGCGGCUGAUCAUAGGCUGUGGUGACACUCUACUGUACUCUAUGCUUCGAGCAGGUGAUCGGGAGCGAGGCGAAUUUCUUGGAGAUUGUUUUGGUGAAGGCCAGGGAGAACUGCGAGGUGAUGGUGAGAACCUGCUGACAGCAGGGUGCACUGUGUGAUGCGUGCCAUCUUCCUCAUCUUCUAAGCUCUGUGCAUCAAGCUCCUGGUCGCUGAACGUGCCUCGCCGCGUGGAAUUGCAAGAGGAGCCAGAACUACGCCGAGACGCUGUGGCUGCGUACUCUUGCCGCAGGCCUGGCAACAACAAGAGCGUUGUUUACUUGCUUCCAGCCCACAAAUGGUUCAAACUAGAGACAGUGCACACAGAUAUAUGCACAGUUCUCAAACUCAGAUUUGGCUCACCUUCACUCCUGUUAUUGGAGGCAUUAAAUAAAUUCCGAUUAGUACCAAAAAGUUAUCUACCAGCUGAUAAUGACUUGAAUUAGGUGAGCUCAUUCCUUUUUCUAGUAAAGCAAUCAUCAGUA